AUUUAUAUAGUUUAAUAAAAACAUUACAUUUUCAUUGUAAAGUUAAAAAUUUUUUUAUAAGUA
rnacentral:tRNA from 1 species